rnacentral:rRNA from 1 species
CCUACGGGUGGCAGCAGUGAGGAAUAUUGGUCAAUGGACGCAAGCCUGAACCAGCCAUGCCGCGUGCAGGAAGACGGCUCUAUGGGUUGUAAACUGCUUUUGUACGAGGGUAAACGCAGAUACGCGUAUCUGUCUGAAAGUAUCGUACGAAUAAGGAUCGGCUAACUCCGUGCCAGCAGCCGCGGUAAUACGGAGGAUUCAAGCGUUAUCCGGAUUUAUUGGGUUUAAAGGGUGCGUAGGCGGUCUGAUAAGUUAGAGGUGAAAUCCUGAGGCUCAACAUCGGAAUUGCAUCUGAUACUGUCAGGCUUGAGAGUAGUUGCGGUAGGCGGAAUGUAUGGUGUAGCGGUGAAAUGCUUAGAGAUCAUACAGAACACCGAUUGCGAAGGCAGCUUACCAAGCUACUUCUGACGUUGAGGCACGAAAGCGUGGGGAGCAAACAGGAUUAGAUACCCGUGUAGUC